rnacentral:rRNA from 1 species
AGAGUUUGAUCAUGGCUCAGAUUGAACGCUGGCGGCAGGCCUAACACAUGCAAGUCGAACGGUAACAGGAAACAGCUUGCUGUUUCGCUGACGAGUGGCGGACGGGUGAGUAAUGUCUGGGAAACUGCCUGAUGGAGGGGGAUAACUACUGGAAACGGUAGCUAAUACCGCAUAACGUCGCAAGACCAAAGAGGGGGACCUUCGGGCCUCUUGCCAUCAGAUGUGCCCAGAUGGGAUUAGCUAGUAGGUGGGGUAACGGCUCACCUAGGCGACGAUCCCUAGCUGGUCUGAGAGGAUGACCAGCCACACUGGAACUGAGACACGGUCCAGACUCCUACGGGAGGCAGCAGUGGGGAAUAUUGCACAAUGGGCGCAAGCCUGAUGCAGCUAUGCCGCGUGUAUGAAGAAGGCCUUCGGGUUGUAAAGUACUUUCAGCGGGGAGGAAGGGAGUAAAGUUAAUACCUUUGCUCAUUGACGUUACCCGCAGAAGAAGCACCGGCUAACUCCGUGCCAGCAGCCGCGGUAAUACGGAGGGUGCAAGCGUUAAUCGGAAUUACUGGGCGUAAAGCGCACGCAGGCGGUUUUGUUAAGUCAGAUGUGAAAUCCCCGGGCUCAACCUGGGAACUGCAUCUGAUACUGGCAAGCUUGAGUCUCGUAGAGGGGGGUAGAAUUCCAGGUGUAGCGGUGAAAUGCGUAGAGAUCUGGAGGAAUACCGGUGGCGAAGGCGGCCCCCUGGACGAAGACUGACGCUCAGGUGCGAAAGCGUGGGGAGCAAACAGGAUUAGAUACCCUGGUAGUCCACGCCGUAAACGAUGUCGACUUGGAGGUUGUGCCCUUGAGGCGUGGCUUCCGGAGCUAACGCGUUAAGUCGACCGCCUGGGGAGUACGGCCGCAAGGUUAAAACUCAAAUGAAUUGACGGGGGCCCGCACAAGCGGUGGAGCAUGUGGUUUAAUUCGAUGCAACGCGAAGAACCUUACCUGGUCUUGACAUCCACGGAAGUUUUCAGAGAUGAGAAUGUGCCUUCGGGAACCGUGAGACAGGUGCUGCAUGGCUGUCGUCAGCUCGUGUUGUGAAAUGUUGGGUUAAGUCCCGCAACGAGCGCAACCCUUAUCCUUUGUUGCCAGCGGUCCGGCCGGGAACUCAAAGGAGACUGCCAGUGAUAAACUGGAGGAAGGUGGGGAUGACGUCAAGUCAUCAUGCCCCUUACGACCAGGGCUACACACGUGCUACAAUGGCGCAUAUAAAGAGAAGCGACCUCGCGAGAGCAAGCGGACCUCAUAAAGUGCGUCGUAGUCCGGAUUGGAGUCUGCAACUCGACUCCAUGAAGUCGGAAUCGCUAGUAAUCGUGGAUCAGAAUGCCACGGUGAAUACGUUCCCGGGCCUUGUACACACCGCCCGUCACACCAUGGGAGUGGGUUGCAAAAGAAGUAGGUAGCUUAACCUUCGGGAGGGCGCUUACCACUUUGUGAUUCAUGACUGGGGUGAAGUCGUAACAAGGUAACCGUAGGGGAACCUGCGGUUG